UACGCAGGGUGCAAGCGUUAAUCGGAAUUACUGGGCGUAAAGCGUGCGCAGGCGGUUGUGUAAGACAGAUGUGAAAUCCCCGGGCUCAACCUGGGAACUGCAUUUGUGACUGCACAGCUGGAGUGCGGCAGAGGGGGAUGGAAUUCCGCGUGUAGCAGUGAAAUGCGUAGAUAUGCGGAGGAACACCGAUGGCGAAGGCAACCCCCUGGGCCUGCACUGACGCUCAUGCACGAAAGCGUGGGGAGCAAACAGG
rnacentral:rRNA from 1 species